rnacentral:rRNA from 1 species
UACGUAGGGUGCAAGCGUUGUCCGGAAUUAUUGGGCGUAAAGAGCUCGUAGGCGGUCUGUCGCGUCUGCUGUGAAAACUCGGGGCUUAACCCCGGGCCUGCAGUGGGUACGGGCAGACUAGAGUGCGGUAGGGGAGACUGGAAUUCCUGGUGUAGCGGUGAAAUGCGCAGAUAUCAGGAGGAACACCAGUGGCGAAGGCGGUGCUCUGGGCCGGAACUGACGCUGAGGCGCGAAAGCUAGGGGAGCAAACGGG